GCGCAGGGAACGGGCCGCGCCGGGCCUGGCCGGCGGCUGGAGCCGCCGUAGGACGGGGGGGACAGCGAGAGGGGCCGCGGUCACCAGCGGGUGUGGGUUGUUAAGGUUUUGAUUAAAGUGACUUCAUCUCGUAAGUGUAAGACAAAGAAGAACGAUGAAGAAGUAUGUUGUAAAUUCCACAGAAAAGGACCUCUCUGAUGCCGGUAAGCCACAGGCAUGAAAGCCAUGUGUGUGUUCAAGGCAUACAUUCCACAGCUCCAAAUCUAAAGGUGCAUUAUAAGUCUUUCCUGAUUUCCAUAAUGAUUUCAUAGCAAAUAACACAAUGAGUUAACUAAAGCCAACGCCUAGAAAACAUUAACGUAUGAAUUAUUCCACCAAGUUCAACAACGUUCAUAUCCAUUUCUAUUCAGCUGGGUCUUAGCCUGGGCAUGAAAAUGCUCCUACAAUAAUCUCAGUAAGGUGAAAGCACAUUAUUACCUUCAAGUGGUUGCCUAAAGAAGUCUUUAAACAAGUCUCUAAACAAGCCUGAUGUGAAAAACAGUAUGCAGAAAAUUCUAUUCAUGGUGAGUCAUUGUGUAAAGUUAAGGUAAAUGUAAAUUGGGUGUGACUGGUGUGUGGAGCCCUUUUUCUCCCCAUGUGAUUCACAGCUGGCUCCCUGCUGUUGUUGUUGAUCAGUUUAUCCAUUUAUUACAUCUCAUUUUAUACAUUUAGAAUCAUAAGUUUUCUGGGGUAGGAUUCCUUUUUUGUGCAGAUUGCUAAAGCCCCUAGCACAAAGGAAGUAGGAUAUGUGGUGACUACUGCAAUACAAAGAAAUAAUGAAGAUUGCUAUUACAGGAGAAGACAGGAUUCUUCUGUUAACUCCUAUCUGUUGUGUGUUACCUACAGCAGUUAUAACCUCUAUAAGCAAGUCCACUUAUUUCAGUAGUGCUUCUCCUCGUUUGCAUUCAGUUGUGUAGGUGUUUGCAGGAUGAAUUAAUUCUUGCUUUUAGAUAGCUUUUUUUGUAUAAAUAUAUUAAUUAUAAAAAUGAAGUUUGUUUCAGUCUCAUAAAUGGAGCUGGGAACUCUUUUCUUGAGCAGAGGAGAUUAAUUGAAGUGAAAGGAAGUUUCAAGAAAAAAUGCAUAAGGCUCUUCCAAGAACAUGAGAAAAACUAAUCCUUAAGAUUUAAAUACAAAAGAAUCAGCAGGGAAAGCUGCAAGAAACUGGAACAAAAGAUGUUUUAUUAAGUGUAAAAAAAAAAAAAAAAAAA
rnacentral:lncRNA from 1 species